rnacentral:pre_miRNA from 1 species
UACAAUGCUUUGACUCUUCGUCUUAUUUAAAAAUUUUUUACGAUUAAUAUUUUAUAGUUACUAGAUGAUAAAACAUGAAUAGUACUUUAUGCGUGACUAAUUUUUUUAAUUUUUUUUAUAAAGUUUUCAAAUAAGAAGAAUGAUCAAACUUUGGACACAGAAAUCGA